UAAAAGUCACCAGAGCACACAGUAACACAGC
rnacentral:piRNA from 1 species